rnacentral:rRNA from 1 species
AGCAGCCGCGGUAAUUCCAGCUCCAAUAGCGUAUAUUAAAGUUGUUGCAGUUAAAAAGCUCGUAGUUGAAUUUCGGGAUUCUACCGUCGGUCGGGCUAACAAGUCUGUACUGGUGUGUAGAAUUUCUACCUUCUGGGGAACUAUCAUGUUAUUAAUUUAGCGUGGUGGGAAACCAGGACUUUACCUUGAAAAAAUUAGAGUGUUCAAAGCAGGCUUACGUCUGAAUACAUUAGCAUGGAAUAAUAGAAUAGGACGGUGGUCCUGUUUUGUUGGUUUCUGAAUCACCGUAAUGAUUAAUAGGGAUAGUUGGGGGCAUUAGUAUUCAAUUGUCAGAGGUGAAAUUCUUGGAUUUAUUGAAGACUAACUUCUGCGAAAGCAUUUGCCAAGGAUGUUUUCAUUAAUCAAGAACGAAAGUUAGGGGAUCGAAGACGAUCAGAUACCGUCGUAGUCUUAACCAUAAACUAUGCCGACUAGGGAUCGGACGAUGUUAAAUUUUAUUGACUCG